AGUGAACGCUGGCGGUAGGCCUAACACAUGCAAGUCGAACGGCAGCACAGUAAGAGCUUGCUCUUACGGGUGGCGAGUGGCGGACGGGUGAGGCAUACAUCGGAAUCUACUUUUUCGUGGGGGAUAACGUAGGGAAACUUACGCUAAUACCGCAUACGACCUACGGGUGAAAGCAGGGGAUCUUCGGACCUUGCGCGAUUGAACGAGCCGAUGUCGGAUUAGCUAGUUGGCGGGGUAAAGGCCCACCAAGGCGACGAUCCGUAGCUGGUCUGAGAGGAUGAUCAGCCACACUGGAACUGAGACACGGUCCAGACUCCUACGGGAGGCAGCAGUGGGGAAUAUUGGACAAUGGGCGCAAGCCUGAUCCAGCCAUACCGCGUGGGUGAAGAAGGCCUUCGGGUUGUAAAGCCCUUUUGUUGGGAAAGAAAAGCAGCAGGUUAAUACCCAGCUGUUCUGGCGGUACCCAAAGAAUAAGCACCGGCUAACUUCGUG
rnacentral:rRNA from 1 species